GUCCUCAUGGCGCAAUCGGCAGCGUGUUUGACUUCUAAUCAAAAGGUUGCGGGUUCGAAUCCCGCUGGGGAUA
rnacentral:tRNA from 1 species